AUUGAACGCUGGCGGAAUGCUUUACACAUGCAAGUCGAGCGGCAGCGCGGGGCAACCUGGCGGCGAGCGGCGAACGGGUGAGUAAUACAUCGGAACGUACCCAGUUGUGGGGGAUAGCCCGGCGAAAGCCGGAUUAAUACCGCAUACGACCUGAGGGUGAAAGUGGGGGAUCGCAAGACCUCACGCAGUUGGAGCGGUCGAUGGCGGAUUAGCUAGUUGGUAGGGUAAAGGCCUACCAAGGCGACGAUCCGUAGCGGGUCUGAGAGGACGACCCGCCACACUGGAACUGAGACACGGUCCAGACUCCUACGGGAGGCAGCAGUGGGGAAUUUUGGACAAUGGGGGCAACCCUGAUCCAGCCAUUCCGCGCGAGUGAAGAAGGCCUUCGGGUUGUAAAGCUCUUUCGGCAGGAACGAAACGGCGGGCUCUAACAUAGCCUGCUAAUGACGGUACCUGAAGAAGAAGCACCGGCUAACUAUGUGCCAGCCGCCGCCGUAA
rnacentral:rRNA from 1 species